UAAGACGGAGGGUGCAAGCGUUGUUCGGAAUUACUGGGCGUAAAGCGUACGUAGGCGGCGGAUUAAGUCGAAUGUUAAAGCCUGGGGCUCAACCCCAGAGAUGCACUCGAUACUGGUCUGCUAGAGGGCGAUAGAGGAAAGCGGAAUUCCCAGUGUAGCGGUGAAAUGCGUAGAUAUUGGGAGGAACAUCAGUAGCGAAGGCGGCUUUCUGGGUCGCACCUGACGCUCAGGUACGAAAGCGUGGGGAGCAAACGGGAUUAGAUACCCCGGUAGUCCACGCCGUAAACGAUGGAUGCUAGGUGUAGCGGGUAUCGACCCCUGCUGUGCCGUAGCCAACGCGUUAAGCAUCCCGCCUGGGGAGUACGGUCGCAAGACUG
rnacentral:rRNA from 1 species